UUUCUUUUUAAUAACAUUAGCCCCAUAUAGAUUUAAUAAUGAGGUGAUGGAAAACAUUUUGAUGAUGGGGCAGAUUCUCUGAUCUGCCGGGGAGAGCAUCUGAUUUGCUUGUGUACCAAUUAAUUAUUGAAGCAACUGAAAAUAACAGGCGAGUGCUCUUCCUCCCCGAGACAGGAUGGCAGUUUGGUCAUUUUAGCUCUCCCUGUCUAAGGAACAUCAGCAGUUGACAACGGUCAGGCAAAUUUGGAGAAAAGGAGAAAGAAAUACAAUUGUGUGCAGUUCUGAAGGGCACCUUGACUGAACAUUUUUGGGUGAUGCUAAAGUUGGCCAGUGGGCAGAAGAAAUGUUGGGUGAAGUCUACAAUGAUUUGGAAACAAGUAAAAAGCAAAGACUGCAAAGACCAUACUCAUAAGUGAAAUAAAUCAGACUUGCAUGUGUGAACAUCAUGUUGUCUCCCUAGG